GUGCCCACACCCGCAUCACAUGGGUGUUGCGACAUCUCUCUCCCUCUUCUUCUAUCCAUCCUGGCCACCCCAUAUCUUCUUGCAGCAUCACGGUGUGCUGCCGUUACACAAUCACAGACACGCGUUCACAGCCGCUGAGGGGCGUGCUUUUCCAAGACAUCAGGAGCAUGAAAAACGGACUAUCGCGCUCCACAUUUGAAUUGCAUUCUUUUAUGUCUGCUGCUGUUUCCUCCAUCCUUCGAGUUGCCAGCAGGGCUAUUCGUUUGGCUGCAUAGACACAGAAGGUUCAACUUCCCCUCCUCUCCUCCCUCAUUCACGAGUAGCAGCAUCGGUCGUAGUCGUACCCAGCGGGUGGUGACUGACAUACCUGCGUUGGGCUACUGACCGUGCCCCCCCAAAAAAAACAAAAGAAACAACCGCCGGCACCACGGCCCCAACACAGCCACUCUUUUGUCGUUUUUUUUCGCUUAUUUUAGUUUCUCUCUGCAGUGCCUCUGCGUGCGUGACGUCCUCGUGUUGACAGCAGCAGGCGCACUCACAGAUACGCCGCUCUCUUUCAUUUUCCUGUCGCUUUCCUCCUCCCUUCUUUGGGCACCUUUGCGGGUGCCUCUGACAGCGUUGUUCUUCGCUCGUUGGCCUCUCUUUAUCCCACGUAUACAUACACACAAGCUUAUUUGAGAUUUACGGUGGCAGAAGCGAGAAGUGCUGCUACGGACUGCGUUGUGUGUGGCCGACAUCAUUGCUGCCAUUUUGUGUGUGUGCUUGUGUGUGCUUGGUGCGCGUCCUCUUGUGCUGUUGACUCCUGUGGAUCACCUCAUCUUCUUUUGGUUGAGUCUCUCCUGAUCUUCGCCGGUUUAGUGUCACACUCUUCUCGUUACCUCUCCUUUUCUUGUUUUCCUUUGUAACCCGUUAACGGCCCUAACUAACAGACAGGCUUCGGUCGUGCCAUUACAGGCGUGGCCCGGCGGGUGGAGGGUGUGCGCGCGGACCGUAUCAGCGUAUUGCACCGUCAACGCUCAUGCAAUCAGAGCCAUCGAUCCCCUCUUUGGUCACCACCCCGCCGCCGCACAUACCUGUAUAUAGCGCAAACUGAAGGCAGUAGAGCGUACCCCCGCAGGCGAUUCUGCACUCUCUCUCUUCGGCGCCUUCGCUUCUGUUUCAAGGAAAUUUGCUUGGCUUUCCUAAAGUUCCGCAUCACGCACUCCGGCACACUCGACCGCGCAGCAGGGACCAGCGAUGCUGCGGCACCUGCGCAUGGCCCCAGCCACCAAGAGGCCGCCCAGGUUGGAGGGGCAGCUUUUUGGUAUGAUCCAGGAGUGGUGUCGGCCUCUCUACCGCUACCGCAUUCCGCACAUCUCGACACCUCGUGACCGCGUGUGCACAUGCGCCUACCCGCUCUACACCCUGCGCUCCUCUCGACGCUCCCUGUAUGACGAGCCAACGGUGUACGCGUCUGCACACGAGGCCAUUUAUGUGACCGGUGCUGGCGCGCCAUCCACCAGCGACGCCCCCGCGUCCUCUUGGACGUUGUCUGGGUGCUCCUCGCCUGUCUACACGUCGACCACGACCACCGCAAAAGGCGGCGCCGCGGCCUUGUCCUUCCUUUCUUCACUUGGACGGCUGCCAUCCCUGCGUGCCCGCUGGGCUGUGCGGCGACGAGGGUCACGCCAGGCUGCUGUCCCCCCGACCACCCCUUUAGCACCACCCCCGCAGUCGUCCGAGGCGUGCUAUCGGUGCAACAUAUGCGAUGGCCUACAGGGCCACGCAGAGGCGAGCGACGGCGCGCUGACAAAUUCUAGCGGAUCCACUGACACUGGUGCCGCAUCGACAGAGCAUGCAACCACGAUGGCCACCACAUCGUCAGCCGAGUGGAAUGAGGAGGAUGAAGGCGAGGCGACCACUGGCAUCGCUGCGGCUUCACCUGACAGCAGCGCGGACGAGCGCUACGGUUACACCAUCUCCACUGGCAUCGCCAACACUGCCAUGGAGGGCGCCAAGGUGGCGGAGCUGCGGCACCUGGACCCGUUCCACGUCGAGGUCUUCGGAAGGCCAUCGUGGUCGGCGCUAACGAAGCGCAUCGCGCGGGAGGUGCAGGCACAGCUCACCCGAUGCGGACUGCGCAAGCGAGACGUCUCGCGUUACGCCACUCAGGCAGCCCUCAACAGUGAGAUGAGUCGCCAGACGUACAAGUUGUGGGUGCGUCGAGGGUCGCGCCGCAUUCGUGAAAGGCAGCUGCAGUUGGCAACGCCUGCCGGUGCCACUGGCUCGCCUUCGCCGAAGUCCCAGCUCACCGUUGCGCCGUCCGAGCAGGUGAUAAUCAAGGGCAAGCUGGACACGCUCCACACAGCCUGCUACCUCGCCCGCUACGCGAUGGCCGCCUACGGUUUGCCCUUUGAGCUCAACUACUUUUCGAGCUUGCGUGAGCUGUCGAAGCUCAUGGCAGAGCCUCACCGGCGCUACGUCUGCGCUAACUCUGAGGAGCAACUAGAGUCGAUGCGCCGCAUGCUGCAGGGCGAGGAGCCGAACGCGUUGCUUGAGUGCGUGGCAAGUCGCUACUCGCUUCGCGUAGGCCAAUCUUGCUGGGCCCUCUUCCUCGACCACGCUACGAACCGAGUCGUGCUCACCUUCCGCGGCUCGCUGACGCCGGCAGACAUCGUGGUGGAUGUGACAGAGGGCUACGCCAACGUCGUGCUGGAGCGCGCCCCUGUGGAUGGGGCAGCGGCGGCCACCGGCAUGGACACGUCGCAGCGACUGUGCACAGCGAUUCCGCUCGGCUUCUACGAGUCCGUCGUCGAGGCGGGUGCCCAGUUGCUUCCUCUCCUGCGUACCAUCCACAGCCAAUACAGCACCUACCAGCUCUGCAUCACCGGACACUCUCUGGGCGGUGUCCAGGCCUCUCUCUUUCACCUUCUGUACUGCGGGCCGUGGCGCGCGGCGCUGCACUCGUCAACGACGCUGCUGCGCCGCGCGAAGGCGCUCACAUGCCCCUCCUCACUGCCUUCGGCGCGGCCUCCUUCCUCUGCAGCCAUCGCAUCCGCUGACACAGCGACGACCACGGCCAGCACUGCGGCGCAUGUGCCUUUUACCAAGACGGUGACUUGCACAUUUGGUGCCGCCCCAGUCGUGGAGCGGCGCGUCGCUCCACUGCUGAAUGCAUGGCUGCACGAGGAGGAGCAGCACUCUGGAAGUCGUCUUGUGGCCUUCAGCAACGGCAUGGACGUUGUUUCCCGGCUACAGUUGCGGUCGCUUCAGGACGCCUUUCUGCAGCAAUACGCGCGGCCGACGGAGGAGAGUCUGUCUAGCGGCGACGGGGCUGCCGUCGAUGACACUGGACCUGCGGUCGCAGGGGUCUCCGACCAAUCUGUACCCCUGCUCGCCAUUCCUGGCUCGUUGUACAACAUGACAUCCGGGACGCGCCGCCGCCAUCUCCUUGCCGUUCCGCUCACUGCCACCGCGGUGCGUGAGCAGGUGGUCCUCAUCCCCGAAGCGGCUUUGCAUCACUACCCCUCGCUCUAUCUGCGCAGCCUGAACGAGCUGCUGCGUCGGUAUAGGGUCAAGUGGCAGUCCAUCUGCGACGAUGCCACGACGAUACCGACCGCCACUGCCACCGCGGCAGCCGUAGCACUGUCAACAGAAAGCCCCUUACGCGAGAGCCGAGGCGGGUGAUGGCGUGUAUGCGCGCUGAGGGGAGAGGGCUGGCCGGUCUCCGAGGCACACAGGCCCGCACCCUUACCUCGCCUCUUUCCUUUGCAGCUUUGCUGCCGCCGUGCGUCGUCGCCGUCUCCCCCCUCCCCCCCACCAUCGCCACCAUUAUCCUCACCACCACCUCUCUCUGCGGGCGUAUUCGGCCCACGUUUUCUUCAUUGUAUUGUCCGCCCCGUUUUCUUUUUCGUUUACCCUCUUCCCCCGUCAUCUUCGUCGUCCUCUCCCUGUCUGUGAGUCUGUUUCUGUGUGCGUGUGUGUGUGCCUCGUGCUCACCGCCACCUCCACCGCCUUCUGUUUAUCGUUGUGUAUAUACUCUCUCGCCCCCUCUCACUCUCGCACUCGCCCUCCCCCACCAUCUCGGGCCUUUCACCACCACAGCAACGCAGUCCAAACGUCGUGCGAAGCAGAGUGAGAGAACAAGGUGUGUGUGUGUGUGUAUGUGCGUCCAUGUCGGAGAGAGGGGGUGGGGUGGUGAGGGUUGCGAUACGAAGUUGUGAGCAUUGGGCAGACACGUGCGCUCCUCCCCGAGCGGGACGUGGGCGUGCGCUAGUAAGGGAGUGGGGAGACCGUAGACACCGGGAGUACACAGCGACGAGGUGCCGUGCCAUCGCAGCAAC
rnacentral:misc_RNA from 1 species